rnacentral:lncRNA from 1 species
UGUCUCUGGAAGUGUCAGCAUGGUCUGUGAAGAACUGCACGUUCUUCAUGUCAGGAGGAAAGGACAGGUCUGGCAGGUUCUCCCCUCGGUGCAUGCUGAAGGGGUCUGCCAUCUCCAUGGGUUUGAACACGGGCUCAAAGCACAGCUCUCUGUCAUCCAUGGCCCACGUGUCGUUGCGGUCGAGGAACUCCUUAUAGGACAGCUUUUCAUCCAUGAUUUCUCCCGGGAACACCGGGCGGUGAUCUUCCAUCCCAUGGUCACCAUUUGCUAUAACGGUUGGCCCGGUGGCUGAAGGAUGUUCCACCUGAAUGCUGUCAGCAUGGCCUUUGCUUUUUGGUUCCUGGCUCCCAGCAUCGUCGUCGUCCAGCAGAGGCACGUAGUCUGUUU